rnacentral:rRNA from 1 species
AUUGCACGCUGGCGGCAGGCCUAACACAUGCAAGUCGAACGAGUGGCGGACGGGUGAGUAAUGUCUGGGAAACUGCCUGAUGGAGGGGGAUAACUACUGGAAACGGUAGCUAAUACCGCAUACCAUCGGAUGUGCCCAGAUGGGAUUAGUUCGUAGGUGGGGUAAAGGCUAACCUAGGCGACGCUCCCUAGCUGGUCUGAGAGGAGGACCAGCCACACUGGAACUGAGACACGGUCCAGACUCCUACGGGAGGCAGCAGUGGGGAAUAUUGCACAAUGGGCGAAAGCCGGAUGCAGCCAGGCCGCGUGUAUGAAGAAGGCCUUCGGGUUGUAAAGUACUUUCAGCGGGGAGGCGUUACCCGCAGAAGAAGCACCGGCUAACUCCGUGCCAGCAGCCGCGGUAAUUC